CGGGGUGAGUAACGCGUGGGUAACCUGCCUCAUACAGGGGGAUAACAGUUAGAAAUGACUGCUAAUACCGCAUAAGACCACGGAGCCGCAUGGCUCAGUGGGAAAAACUCCGGUGGUAUGAGAUGGACCCGCGUCUGAUUAGCUGGUUGGUGAGGUAACGGCUCACCAAGGCGACGAUCAGUAGCCGGCUUGAGAGAGUGAACGGCCACAUUGGGACUGAGACACGGCCCAA
rnacentral:rRNA from 1 species